UGAGGCUGCAGCCGGCCCUUAAACCUCCUUUUUGUUCUGUUACCAAACGCGCAGUCAACCCUUGUCAUCGUGGAAAGAGAUGGCCCGGUGCACUAGGCUGACUUCCAUAGAUUUCUCAUAGCCACUAUUUUCAUCUCUUCGGGCCCGAACAGAUCCGAGGCUCGAGAUGCGUGAUCAGAUCUUUCGUCUCUGGAAGGGCAAUGUUUGCGAGCAGAUCGGGGUUGAUUCCCGAAGCAAAUCGCUUGCUUCCCUAUGUUCCAUAAACUUGUGCACAUUCACUUUAAAAGAUCUAGGGAGAAGGUAAAGAAUGCCCCAGUCCAUCAGUGAUAUUACUGAAACGGACAGGAGCUGUGCACAGACAUUGUACCUUCUGCCAGAAAGAGUUGGUGAAGGCCACUUCAUCACGCCACUUCUUCAUUGCCUCCAUGUUUCCUGUGUGUUGCAAUUAGGAUUCUGUAGAACCCUCCUGAGAAAUGUCACUCCUCUUGUGAAACUCGUUCGCUUACUUCUUUGUAUAUUUUUCUCUUCCCCUUCAAAUACGGUUCUGUUUCUUUUCCUGCAGAAAAAAAGAAUGCAAAAUGAACUGGCAAUUCUUGUUCCAGGUCUCAUGAGAUUUGCUCACUGCUUGGAGUUUGUUCAACAAGUCCUACACUCUGAGAAUAAAUGAGAAGAAGAAAGCCUAAUUUUACCUUUAAAUAAACAAACAAACCUUACAUUU